rnacentral:sRNA from 2 species
GAGACGGAUUGCCGAGUCCUGUCACCGUUGUCGACUGCAGCGCAAUCCGCUUGACAGGAGCGGGGGACCCACGCAUGUGGGGCGACCGAGAGGUUGCUCCUUGGGGUUAAGUCAGUUCCGCACUGGCCGGGCAGAACCUCCGCCCGAACCCGACAGCUCACCCCGCAGGCAUCGAGAGGUUUC